AUUGAACGCUGGCGGCAGGCCUAACACAUGCAAGUCGAGCGGAUGAAGGGAGCUUGCUCCUGGAUUCAGCGGCGGACGGGUGAGUAAUGCCUAGGAAUCUGCCUGGUAGUGGGGGAUAACGUCCGGAAACGGGCGCUAAUACCGCAUACGUCCUGAGGGAGAAAGUGGGGGAUCUUCGGACCUCACGCUAUCAGAUGAGCCUAGGUCGGAUUAGCUAGUUGGUGGGGUAAAGGCCUACCAAGGCGACGAUCCGUAACUGGUCUGAGAGGAUGAUCAGUCACACUGGAACUGAGACACGGUCCAGACUCCUACGGGAGGCAGCAGUAGGGAAUAUUCGACAAUGGGCGAAAGCCUGAUCCAGCCAUACCGCGUGUGUGAAGAAGGCCUUCGGAUUGUAAAGCACUUUAAGUUGGGAGGAAGGGCAGUAAGUUAAUACCUUGCUGUUUUGACGUUACCAACAGAAUAAGCACCGGCUAACUUCGUG
rnacentral:rRNA from 1 species